rnacentral:sRNA from 1 species
UAUCUCAUCGUGUUGACCGGCGGCUGC